rnacentral:rRNA from 1 species
AUUGAACGCUGGCGGCAGGCCUAACACAUGCAAGUCGAACGGCAGCAGGGAUCUUGGCACUGGAUUCAGCGUGGGAAAGGGGAGAAAAGCCUAGGAGUAUGCCUGGUGGUGGGGGGGAACGUCCGGCGAAAGGCGCAUAUACCGCAUACACGCUGUGCGGGAAAGUGGGGGAGCUUCUGACCUCACGCUCUCAGAUGAGCCUAGGUCGGAUUAGCUAGUUGGUGGGGUAAAGGCCUACCAAGGCGACGAUCCGUAGCUGGUCUGAGAGGAUGAGCAGUCACACUGGGACUGAGACACGGCCCAGACUCCUACGGGAGGCAGCAGUGGGGAAUAUUGGACAAUGGGCGAAAGCCUGAUCCAGCCAUGCCGCGUGUGUGAAGAAGGCCUUCGGAUUGUAAAGCACUUUUAGUUGGAAGGAAGUCCAUUAAGUUAAUACCGUCCUGUUUUGACGUUACCAACAGAAUAAGCACCGGCUAACUACGUG